AAAAAUGCUGACUCAUGAAUGUUGGAAUAUAGUUUGCCCAGUCAGGGGGAUUAUAUGUUCAACUUUCCAAGAGCAUAAGGCCCUGCCUGACUUACAUUAAAGGGAUCAGAUUGUAUCUUCCUUUGGCUUUAUUAUAGAGAACAAGAUACAUUUGGAUGCAAACAGUGUCAAACUUCUUGUUAACCUUCUCAGAAAAAGUAGAUUGGAUUGAUUCCAAGCCAAGGAAGGGAACAAAACUGAAGCCAAGAAAACAGAGGAAGUUGGCCUGUAUCACACACCGCAGAUAACAUGCAACCCACCAAAGGCAUUUUCUUUUGGUGGUUGUUUCUGCAUAAAUAAGUGGAACUGAGCUAAACUCUUGCUAUGUGUUCUGCUUUGGGUCAGCAACGUUGUGCCUAUCAACUCAUCGUCACUAUUAUCAGUGCUGACAGUGUUUUAGCUACUGUACACAUGUACCAGAGGGCACAACCCCUUUCCAUUUACUAGCAGAACAAAAUACUUAUGAGAAGAAGAAAUGAAUGUGCUUCUCUAUGGCAGUUUUCAUGAGAAUGGCAUCUCAAAGUACUUUACAAAGCGAUGAGAGAGAGAGAUAAUACAAU